UACAGAGGUCUCAAGCGUUGUUCGGAUUCAUUGGGCGUAAAGGGAGCGUAGGUGGCUGGUUUAGUCAGGUGUGAAAUCUCGGGGCUCAACCCCGAAACUGCACUUGAUACUGGCUUGCUAGAGUACUGGAGAGGAGAUUGGAAUUUACGGUGUAGCAGUGAAAUGCGUAGAUAUCGUAAGGAAGACCAGUGGCGAAGGCGAAUCUCUGGACAGUAACUGACACUGAGGCUCGAAGGCCAGGGGAGCGAACGGG
rnacentral:rRNA from 1 species